rnacentral:lncRNA from 1 species
AUGCUGUUUUCCUUAGGCAAAUUACUGGAACACGUCCUGGUCUGCCAUCUCUUGGGCUGCAGUGUGGCUCUGCUUGGCACAGUGCUGGCACUGCCCGUGGCACAGCCACCCCGUGCCCCUCCUGCUGCUGGAGACGGGGCACCCUACACGAGCUGCUCACCCAGGGCAGCCCAUGAGGGCUGGAUGUGGCCAUGCCACCCUGCCCCACUGCCAGUCCCAAGCAACCUUAAGGCCUCUGGGGUUUGUCUCUGUCUGGUGUGUAAAGCGGCUCUCCCCAAACCACCCAAAAGCCACCCAAAACACCCCUGUGCAUUUUCAUGCACUCAGAGGGUGAAGCAGAGCCAAAGAAAGCCCCAAACAGCUGCAAAGGUACUGGAUCCUUUAUUACUGACAGCAGGUAAAUACAAGAUGCUGGUGGGCAGGAGGGCAAGGGCUGUUCCCCUGCGAGGGGAUCCCGAUGGUGCAGGAGCAGGGCGGGCGUGGGCAGGAGAGGGAAGGGAGCAGCUGGAGAGGCACAGCCAGGGCUCUGCCAGCCCCUGCCCAGGCAGCCCAGCUGAGCAGAGCCUGCACCCAGCACAUGCCAAGGGGGGCUACUCUGGGUUACAAAAUGAACAAACAAAAGCCAUCCACACGUAUUUACAGCAUCCCCCUCCCGCCGCCGGCUCCCUCCGGGCUCGGGGUGCGCCCGGCCCCCCAGAGCGGGCUGCAGGGAGCACAGCCCCAUCGGAGGGGACAGUCCUCGGCCUAAGUACCAGCACCAGGGGCUGCUGGAGCUGUGCUCGCAGCCCCGAUGUACAGCAGGAUCUCCAAGGGGCUGGGAAGGUGGUCCUGAGAGACGGGACAUUCCCACGGGAGGGGAGGGUGUGCCCUGCUUCGGGGUGUCUCGCUGAUCAGAUAAAAACAUCAUCGGGAGCACCUUGCCUGGGCCACCUCCUCUUCCCUGGGCAGGAGAGCCGGGCCUGCCCUUCCAAAGGAGAACCUCCUUCCCCUGGGAAGGAAAAUGGGAAACAAGGAUACAGCGAAGACGAAGGGGGUGGUUCUGGCCUGGGGAUCGAUCUACAAUCCGCCAUAAAAAACCAGCUUGGAACAAAACCCAUCAUUUACUCUUCAAUUUGUACAAAAUAA